GGUCGGGUAGCUGAGACAGCUUAGCGUCGCCCUGAAGAGGCGAAGAGGCCGGUGCGAGUCCGGCCCCGACCA
rnacentral:tRNA from 1 species